GGAGAGAUGGCUCAGUGGUUAAGAGCACUGACUUCUCCUCCAGAGGUCCUGAGUUAAAAUCCCAGCAACCACA
rnacentral:tRNA from 1 species